UUCGUGGAUUUUGAAAAAAGGUCCAUGCUUUUGGUUUGGUUUAAUUAGUUUCUUCUUUUUUCUUUUUAGGGAGUUAUUUUUAUCUUUUUAAGUUGUUCUAUUAAUUCUUCUAUAUUUUUAUCUUGACUGCCUUUUUGUUUUUCUCUUUCUAUAUUUUUAUUAAGUUCUAAUAGUAGUAAAAUUAUAAUAUUUUUCUGUUUUAUGAUGAGAGAGUUUGCUUUUCCCUG
rnacentral:lncRNA from 1 species